AUGCUCUCGACUCGGCCGGGGCGGCGGGGCCCGAGGAGGAUAGGGCCCUGGGCCUGGCUCAGCUGCUCUCCACAGGACACAGAGCAGGGCCCCUGCGCUGGCUCAGGCUGGGGCACCGUCGUCGGGUCAAGGCUCGGCAAGCCAAGCCCUGCCCCGCCUUCCCUUCUCCAUCUGCUCCAGGUUUGUCCAAGUUUGUUGUUCGGAGCCGGCGGUGGUGUCCAGGGCCUGUGGAGGUGUCCCUGUGACUGCUCUGUUCCCGUUGGAACUGGCCAUUGGCAGGGCCAGGGAUGGGACAGGGGUCCGGGAUCUCAAGAGCCUGGCUGGCUGGUGGGGUGGUGUCCCCUUGGGGAUCAGCUUCAAGACGUUUGUCCCGAUGCUCAGUAGGCAGGUGGAUUUCGUGACAGGGUUGGGGGAGAGGGCUCGUCCGUCCCCAAACCUUCCCUGUUUGUGACGUUUACAUUUUAUAAGACAUGGUUCCACCCUUCACUGUCUCUUUCUCUCCUCCUCCCUCUCCCAUUCAGGCCCAUUUGUCACUUGCUCCCCCGACCUGCUCUCUCUGGAAUGAUCCAGCCAUCUUUGGGUCAGGGGGACACCUUCUGCACCAUCCUGUUGCUGGGCAGGUCACUGGGAGUCUGGUCCUCCGUCCCUGCUGCCUGUGUGUGUGGCCUGCCCAUCAGCCUCUUGGAGCCUCAGCUAUCCAUCGGUAAAGUGUACACACCUGCUGGCUCUUCCAGGGCGCUGGGGAAGGCCGCCCGUUUUGUCAUAGGAGUGUGUCUACCAGAUGGCCCCUCUUUGAUGGUGAGGCCUGUGGCCAGGUCCUUCCUGUGCCCCCUGCCUGGAUUUUCCUUGUCCACUACCCCAAGACCUGGCCCGGAGGUCUCUGGGAGGUGGCAUGCCAUGGGUGGAGCAGCUACAUAACCGAGUCCAUCUCCAUCCUCGCAGGUGCGCCCUCUGCUCCUGGGCCCGUCGACCAUCAUGAUCCAUGACGUGUGCCCAGCCUUCCUGGCCCUGGCAAAGGCUGCUGUGUCCAUCCUGGACAUCCAGGAGCCGUAGGUCCCCGUGGUGGACAAGGGUCAGGGUCAGCUUCCUGAUAUGGCUCCCUCUGCUGAUUCGUAGAAACCAGGAAGAUGAAGUGGCUGUGGGAGAUAUUUUCCCUGUGUCCUCCGCUUUUUCUCCUGGUUUCUGCAUCCGCCACCGCCUUCAAGUUUCCACGAGCUCGUGCUGCUCUCUCUCACCGGUUGUUCUGUGUGCACAAUGCAGAGCAACCUGUGAGGUUGGACUUCUUCACUCCAGUCCACAUCAGCCAAGCUCAGCUGUAAGUCCCUCUUGAAGUUGUCCCCACGUUACCCCUGACUGAGGAGCCCCUGUCCUCCAGCUGGUGUGG
rnacentral:lncRNA from 1 species